rnacentral:rRNA from 1 species
AUUGAACGCUGGCGGCAGGCCUAACACAUGCAAGUCGAGCGGAUGAAGGGAGCUUGCUCCUGGAUUCAGCGGCGGACGGGUGAGUAAUGCCUAGGAAUCUGCCUGGUAGUGGGGGAUAACGUCCGGAAACGGGCGCUAAUACCGCAUACGUCCUGAGGGAGAAAGUGGGGGAUCUUCGGACCUCACGCUAUCAGAUGAGCCUAGGUCGGAUUAGCUAGUUGGUGGGGUAAAGGCCUACCAAGGCGACGAUCCGUACCUGGUCUGAGAGGAUGAGCAGUCACACUGGAACUGAACCACGGUCCAGGCUCCUACGGGACGCAGCAGUGGGGAAUAUUGGACAAUGGGCGGAAGCCUGAUCCAGCCAUGCCGCGUGUGUUAAGAAGGUCUUCCGAUUGUAAAGCACUUUAAGUUGUGAGGAAGGGCAGUAAGUUAAUACCUUGCUGUUUUGACGUUACCAACAGAAUAAGCACCGGCUAACUUCGUG